rnacentral:sRNA from 2 species
ACAAGGUCUGGGUGUAAGUAACAGAGAUUAAGAAGCCAACUCUCCUUAAGGAUAUGAUAUGAACUAGAUGAAAGUGAUGUAGCUUGCUGUAGAAUGCCACCUUUUAUCUUCAGAAGCUACACUUGCUAAGAUCUCAAGGAAAAAGAAGAUACCAUCACCAAAUCAUUCUAUAUUAUAUUAAAAUACCUAUCGGAUCUAGCUAGAUACUAUAUAAACCAAUGUAUAUGCUCAUUAAUAGAUGUUGAUCAAUGGUGGUGGUGGUUGGAUGGAGCGAUUGGAGCACUCUAUCUAUCUACCUACCUACCUCCACGAAUAGAGAAUCAUUAGUAGAUAU